rnacentral:rRNA from 1 species
GAUAAACGCUGGCGGCGUGCCUAACACAUGCAAGUCGAACGCCUUCUGGCUCCGGUCAGAGGGAGUGGCGGACGGGUGAGUAACACGUGGGUAAUCGACCCUCAAGUGAGGAAUACCGCCGGGAAACCGGUGACAAUACCGCAUAGGCUCUCGCAAGAGAGCAAAGCUUCGCAAGAGGCGCUUGAGGACGAGCCUGCGUCCGAUUAGUUAGCUGGUGGGGUAAUGGCCUACCAGGGCAAUGAUCGGUAGCUGGUCUGAGAGGAUGAUCAGCCACACU